AUGUGCUGGGUGUCUGGCCAGCUAGAUCUGCAUGGUGGGAUACAGGAUGCACUACGCACUGCCCUGGAGGCCCAGGAAUGUGGCACUGGCACAGGACAUCACGGUGGGAACGCAUGUGUACAGGUCGGAGAGGGGACAGGAAGCUCUCUGUGUGUAACUUACUCCAGAACUCACUGGAUCCCUUCCAAGGCCAGAACCCCCUCUGAAAGGUCCCACCACUCACCCUGCCAUGAACCCCUGGGCACACACUCAGACCCUGUGUACCCCCACAGCAGUGGCCACCGCACAGAAAUCAACCACCCACUCAGAAACAGCACAAACGUGCUUUAUGAUCUAAUGCAUGGCCACACAGGGGAGAGAGAGCCCACACAGACUCCUCACAGAGAUGACAGCUUUCUCGGGAGCCCCCACAAGGAGCUGUCCCUGUGGCCCACUCCCUCCCCACCCUGUCCUCCCCAGCACCCUCAUCUGUACUUCACAGUGUCCCCUACACACACGUGGCCCCGUGUCCCUCUCUCCCCUUACAUCUCCUCAGAGUUUGGAUUUCCCCAAAUCACAGACCCAAGAGGGUUUGGCAUUUAUUGGCAUCUACUAAAAACAAGUGCCCAGCGCCAGGGGAAAGGACACAUGCUCCGGCUACCCGUGACGGCCACGUUCAAUUCCUGGGAGCUGCUGCAUGGAGGUUCUCGGAUGCUGGGGGGAGAGAAACAGUCCUUUUCGGGGCGAGACAGUCUGUGCAGUUCUGCGGGUCCACAGUGGGCGGGGCCAGGCCCUGGCCCCGGAACACACAGGACUGCCAAUGCUGGAGAAACAGCCCUGCGCGAUCGGUCAUCUCAAAGAUUGGUUCUGAAAUGGAAAGUCAUGGAAAUGAAUUCAGGACGACCCUUUCUCCUGGGAAUCCUCGCUUCCCUGGAGGUGGGGUGUGCAGGCAAACUUAACCUUGACCUGGCCAGGGGCUUGCGACUGCUGCCAGAGUGGAGACCCCCACGCUGGGGGCUGCUAGCUGGGCCUGGGGGCUGCGACCGGGGUGGACGAACUGAGGUGCCUCUUGCUCUGUCUGUGUGGGUGUUUUUCCUGAGAGGAGCUGGUUUUUCCACUGCCAUUCACUGCAGCUGCCAAAAGCAGCAACAAAGGCCCCCGGCGCAGCGUCCUGGCCGGAGCCCACGCGGUGGCCCAGCUGCAGAUGGACGCAGCAGCUGCUCCUGA
rnacentral:lncRNA from 1 species